ACAGCAAUGCAUGUUCCUUUUCCAUUCGUCACUGGAUGGCCCUCUGGCAGUCCUUUAUAGAUUUUUGGAUUACUUAAGCAAAUUUGACUGGGAGAACUAUUGUAUAAGUUUAAAUGGACCAGUAUGCAAAUCAUCCUUGCCUGAUAUAGUGGGUAAGAGAUAUUAUUGUGUGCUUUUAAUAGAUCCACUAAAUCAACCUUGGGCGAAGUGUCAGCAGAAGUAUGCAUUCUCCCUAAAGUCUAUUGUCCACUUUAAUAAUCGUUCGUUGUUUGCCUUUUUGCACAGAUUGAUUGUCGUGUUUUUGAAAAUUUCAGCUGUUUAAGGUAAGCAAUUUAAAUUUUUUAAUUAUUGAGUUUUAAAUUUUAGGCUCUUUAUAGUAUAUGUGAUAUAUAUUUGCUUAGUCUCGUAUUCUGUGUUUCUUAAUGCUUCUUUUUCUCAUUUUUGGUUUUUGUCCAGUGUGGUUUGCCCUAAUUUCCACCUUUUAAAAUGAAACAAUCAAAUUAUAAAGUUUACUUAUAUUUUACAAGUUGAAUGCAAAAGUCAUAACAUCAAAUGUUAACAUAAAAGAUGACUUCUGGCGAGAGACCAGUCCAAAAGGCCAAGGCUGAGAGAACUUAUUAGGAUGAGAAAAAGAAAGAUUUGUUUGAAAACUUGCGGAAGAAACAAUGAGGCGGUUGAAGUGCAGAAAGAAGGUUUACAUUAAUGCUACUAGGCUAGAUCACUCUCUGAAAUUUUCAGUUCGAGGCGAUUGGAGCUGAAUAUGGAUAAGUUUUUGAGACUUUUAGACUUUUUGGACCUCUCAAGAUUGAUGUGGCCAUCUCCGACAUCUCCGUCACCUUUUAGGCUAUUUUUCGACCAUCUCCGUCAACCAUUGGGCUUCCAAAUAGAAAUGGCAAGUGGAAGUUCAACGAAAGGUACUAUGUUGCCUCAUAGGCCGCCUAAGCGUUGAGCUUGAGGGCUUGAAGAGAAAAGUGCGUGUAAGACAUGAAACCUUGAAGGACUUUGUUAUGAUUUUAGUUAAGUGGAAUAUUUUUUUAAAGUUUGAACUUUGUUAUGUUUAUUUUAGGUGUGGAUAUUUGAAAUGUGAUGUUUAUUUUAAAUUUGGACUUUUGAAGACUUAAACUUUGAAAUUUUUUUUUCAAAUAUUUUUUUUUUUUUUAAGUUUGGAUUUUGGAAGACUUCAUUGAUGAUUCUAGUUGAACUUUAAAUGUUUA